UUAUGUAAAAGGCAAACUUAUUGAAAAAUAAGGACGCAAAGCUACGAGUCUAAGGUGAAAUCACUAUGAUAGUCGGGUUGCCAGG
rnacentral:ncRNA from 2 species